rfam:Ajellomyces capsulatus NAm1 scaffold_15 genomic scaffold, whole genome shotgun sequence.
AUCCACCCAUCUACAGAGAAUCAUUUCUAUAGUAAAUCGUCCCACCUGAUUUUUUCGCAUUAGCGACUGAAUCCCCAACCUUGCUGAUGACCACCAUGUCCACAGUGCCCUAGAGUGAAACCUGUUAUACUCUCGUCCGCAUCGCUACGGGUUAUAUGAUGCUGGAGGCUUCGGCCACUGUUUCGUAUACUUGUCUCGAUCAAGGGAGUGGUGAUGAUCUUGACCUUGCCCUGGCGUCUUGACUUCGGUCGGCCUGGUUUGGUGGGCACUGUGGAGGUCUGAAAGGU